rnacentral:rRNA from 1 species
UGGGGAAUUUUGGACAAUGGGCGCAAGCCUGAUCCAGCCAUGCCGCGUGCGGGAAGAAGGCCUUCGGGUUGUAAACCGCUUUUGUCAGGGAAGAAAUCUUCUGAGUUAAUACCUCGGGAGGAUGACGGUACCUGAAGAAUAAGCACCGGCUAACUACGUGCCAGCAGCCGCGGUAAUACGUAGGGUGCAAGCGUUAAUCGGAAUUACUGGGCGUAAAGCGUGCGCAGGCGGUUUUGUAAGACAGAGGUGAAAUCCCCGGGCUCAACCUGGGAACUGCCUUUGUGACUGCAAGGCUUGAGUGCGGCAGAGGGGGGAUGGAAUUCCGCGUGUAGCAGUGAAAUGCAUAGAUAUGCGGAGGAACACCGAUGGCGAAGGCAAUCCCCUGGGCCUGCACUGACGCUCAUGCACGAAAAGCGUGGGGAGCAAAACAGGAUUAGAUACCCUGGUAGUCCACGCCCUAAAACGAUGUCAACUGGUUGUUGGGAAGGUUCCUUCUCAGUAACGGAGCUAACGCGUGAAGUUGACCGCCUGGGGAGUACGGCCGCAAGGUUGAAAACUCAAAUGAAUUGACGGGGUCAUAGCUGUUU